AGCCUACGGGAGGCAGCAGUGAGGAAUAUUGGUCAAUGGGCUUACGCCUGAACCAGCCAAGUCGCGUGAGGGAAGACUGCCCUAUGGGUUGUAAACCUCUUUUGUCAGGGAGCAACGCCGGCUACGUGUAGCCGGACUGAGAGUACCUGAAGAAAAAGCAUCGGCUAACUCCGUGCCAGCAGCCGCGGUAAUACGGAGGAUGCGAGCGUUAUCCGGAUUUAUUGGGUUUAAAGGGUGCGUAGGCGGGUUAUCAAGUCAGCGGUACAAUCGUGGAGCUCAACUCCAUCCAGCCGUUGAAACUGAUG
rnacentral:rRNA from 1 species